UACGUAGGGUGCAAGCGUUUGUCCGGAAUUAUUGGGCGUAAAGAGCUCGUAGGCGGUCUGUCGCGUCUGCUGUGAAAACUCAGGGCUUAACCCUGAGCUUGCAGUGGGUACGGGCAGACUAGAGUGCGGUAGGGGAGACUGGAAUUCCUGGUGUAGCGGUGAAAUGCGCAGAUAUCAGGAGGAACACCGGUGGCGAAGGCGGGUCUCUGGGCCGUAACUGACGCUGGAGGAGCGAAAGCAUGGGGAGCGAACAGGA
rnacentral:rRNA from 1 species